rnacentral:rRNA from 1 species
GACGUAGGGGGCCAGCGUUGUUCGGAAUUACUGGGUGUAAAGGGUUCGUAGGCGGUGUAGCAAGUCGGGAGUGAAAUCUCUGGGCUUAACCCAGAGGCUGCUUCCGAAACUGCUGUGCUUGAGUGUGGGAGAGGCGCGUGGAAUUGCAGGUGUAGCGGUGAAAUGCGUUGAUAUCUGCAGGAACACCCGUGGCGAAAGCGGCGCGCUGGACCACUACUGACGCUGAGGAACGAAAGCUAGGGGAGCAAACAGG